UCCGUCUUGAAACACGGACCAAGGAGUGCAAGAGGUGCGCAAGUCGGAAGGGUUUUUGCUGGGAGGUGUCGUCCUCGUGUCGGCUCCCCCCACCCGAGAGACCCAUGUGUUACUGGAACGGGCGAAGUGAGAGCAAUUUCGCGGGUGCGAGAGCCGCGGGGAGACUUGCGGCGCAUCGCUGGCCGAACCGUACGGUCACGCUGUGGCCGGUUUCGAGUGCGAGCGUAUCUGUUGCGACCCGAAAGAUGGUGAACUAUGCCUGAGGAGGGUGAAGCCAGAGGAAACUCUGGUGGAGGCCCGUAGCGGUUCUGACGUGCAAAUCGAUCGUCGCACUUGGGUAUAGGGGCGAAAGACUAAUCGAACCAUCUAGUAGCUGGUUCCCUCCGAAGUUUCCCUCAGGAUAGCUGGAGCUCGUUCCGAGCAGUUUCGUCGGGUAAAGCGAAUGAUUAGAGGUAUCGGGGUUGAAAGGACCUCGACCUAUUCUCAAACUUUCAAUCGGCGAGAAGGGAGCGUCUUUCCUACCGGAAGACGUCCCUCGAAUGCAGGGGCUCCAUGUGGGCCGUUUUUGGUAAGCAGAACCGGCGAUGCGGGAUGAACCGAACGUCGGGCUAUGGUGCCGGAGUCGACGCUGAGCAGAUACCAGGAAAGGUGUUGGUUGAUCCAGACAGCAG
rnacentral:rRNA from 1 species